UUAUUAUUAUUAUUAUUAUUAUUGCCAUUUAUAUAGCGCCAACAGAUUCUGUAGCACUUUACAAUAUUAUGAGAGGGGGGAUUUAACUAUAAAUAGGACAAUUACAAGACAACUUACAGGAACGAGAGGUUGAAGAGGACCCUGUUCAAACGAGCUUACAUUCUAUAGGAUUAAAUGGGUAAUGUGGUGCAGAGAAAGUAACAUCCUACAUUUUUAUAAUUGAACUUUAAUAUAACUUAGGUAAUAUCAACAAACACAUAUUCAGAUGUCAUGCUAUGUCCCUUUUUCCAUUAGAUCUGGCUGGAUGUUAAAAUGGUGAAAGUAUAUUGCUUCAACAUAUAAUUAUAUUAUAAGAACUUACAAAAACUGGGCAGCCUCCAGUUAUUUUACUGUAUAUAGGGAUUUGUAAUUGUGCACAAGUAACUUUGUUUAACCUUGUUUUUUAUUGGAUGUAUAGGAGCUGAUGUAUACUAUAGUCAUUCCUGGCAAUCAGGAGUAGCUGGAGUUUGAGUGCAGGACUUCUGUAUAUUUAUAUUUACUUUUGUAUCACCCAGCCAUAUAACAGUGCUGCCAACCAUCCCAUGUGUUCCCUAUUAAGGGUUAAUAAGUGUGUAGGUGUUUAGAAAAUUACCCCCUCUGUCUUAUUGGAACAUUUUUUUACCUUCUAGCUGGGAGCAGCAAGGUGAAUGUUAGUGUAGUAUUCACCUAAAAGGUUUGCCUGGACAUUGCAGGUGAGCUUACACUUAAAUGGACAUUUGAGUGAAACUAAAAAAAAAACAGUGACUUAAAUGUGCAUAGGGAUUUGGGAUAGAACGCAAGUAAGAAACAACUUAAAUGCAGUAGGACACAUGAAUUAUAGAACCAUAUUUAAUUAAUGAGGGCUGCUUCACACUAAGGGGAAUGACUAUAGAUGAAAAAAUCUAAAUAUAGAUCAGGGCUAUCAGGGGAUGUAACUUUUGUGGGUUUUUUAUGUUUUAAAGGUAUUUUGGGGUUUUAUAAAAAUGUGUGUUUUUGUGUCUGGAGAUAAUUGAGUUAAUACGGUAUUUGACUCAAUUAUUUCCCAGGUACAUAGGAGGGAUUGACCUAGUUUG